UGAGUACACGUAGGUAAUCUACCUUUGGAUGGGGAAUAACAACCGGAAACGGUUGCUAAUACCGCAUAAUGCAGCGGCACCUAAUGGUGACAGUUGUUAAAGCGGGGGAUCGAAAGACCUCGCGUCUGAAGAGGAGCCUGCGGCGGAUUAGCUAGUUGGUGGGGUAAUGGCUCACCAAGGCGAUGAUCCGUAGCCGGCCUGAGAGGGCGGUCGGCCACACUGACACUGACAUACGGGUCAGACUCCUACGGGAGGCAGCAGUCGGGAAUUGUUCGCAAUGGGCGCAAGCCUGACGACGCAACGCCGCGUGGAGGAUGAAGAUCUUCGUGUCGUAAACUCCUUUCGAUCGAGACGAAUGGCCUCCGGGUGAACAAUCCGGAGGAAUGACGGUACCGAGAGAAGAAGCCCCGGUAACUCCGUGCCAGCAGCCGCGGUAAUACGGGGGGGGCAAGCGUAGUUCGGAAUUACUGGGCGUAAAGGGCUCGUAGGCGGCCAACUAAGUCAGACGUGAAAUCCCCUCGGUUAACCGGGGAAACUGCGUCUGAUACUGGAUGGCUUGAG
rnacentral:rRNA from 1 species